GACGUAGGAGGCGAGCGUUGUCCGGAGUCAUUGGGCGUAAAGAGCACGCAGGCGGUUUGGCAAGGCGGAUGUGAAAACCCGAAGCUCAACUUCGGGCCUGCAUCCGAAACUGCCCGACUAGAGGUAGGUAGGGGAGAUCGGAAUUCCUGGUGUAGCGGUGAAAUGCGCAGAUAUCAGGAGGAACACCAAUUGCGAAGGCAGCUCGCUGGGACGUUACUGACGCUGAGACGCGAAAGCAUGGGGAGCGAACAGG
rnacentral:rRNA from 1 species